UUGUAGACUCAAUCCCCCGGGUUUCCGGGUGAUUGGAUUUGGAUGUUGCCUCCUCGGCUCGUCUUAAAUGUGUUAGCGGCACGAGCGCCCGUUGGACGAAUUAAGUUCCGUCUCUCGAAGCGUCACCGGCCGCUCAUAACCGCCCUUGGGCACCUUUUGACUCUGACCUCAGAUCAGGUAGGACUACCCGCUGAACUUAA
rnacentral:misc_RNA from 1 species